UAUAAAAUUGAAACUGGUUGUGGCAUUGUUGGAAUUACUUCGUUCAUCCAAUGAAUGGUGCAAGGCUAUAUACAACUAGAAAGGCUAGAUCUAGAUGGUAACAAACCAACCAACGUGAUUAUAAGAUUUGCCUUAGAAAUAGAAAAUAACAACAAGAAAACAAAAAAUAAGGGGAUAGAAACAAAUCCCAUAACAGAGAAUAUAACAAACUAACCACC
rnacentral:lncRNA from 1 species